AGCACAGAGGAGGAGGCGGAGCCGUCCUGGAGACAGGGGCGGGGAGAUAGCGGCGGUGACGUCAUAGUGAGUUAGCUUGUGUUGUUGAUGCAGCGGUGGGACACCGUCUCGGAGCAGAGAGGAGAGGCUUAUGCUGGCCAUACACCAGGACGACCUGCAUCCGAUUCCAGCCUCGAUUUCUCUUCAAUUCACACAGCAGCUCUGGACACACGAUGGGUCGUUAAAAUUCAGAGCAGGCUAGUGGCUAUGGCAACAGACAGAGUAUGAUGACAUCAUUUAUGGACGCCAUCCCUCUGCUUCCGGACGCCGCCUCCUUCACAGAGGGAGACUUACCUUAUACCCUAUAAGAUCCAAAACCAAAACACGAAAGGAUGGGUUUGACAAAACCAAGCCAAAACCAAAACACGAAAAUGGAAUUAGAACCAAAACCAAAACACAAAACACGAAAAGUGCCAGCCGCACAUCUCUAAUAACCAAAGAUGGCAGAUUUCUGAUUUGAGAGAGUCCCAGGGGCUGCCAGCAUCCUGAAUCAGCGCACCGUGACAAUAACUUACGCUGCCAGAACUGCGCAGUCAGGAGGACAUACAGACAUCUGCUGGCGCGGACACGUGUCACCAGGACACCUGCUCUGAGCAGACACAUAUUUCCCAUUUGCUUUUGAGCACAAACUGGACUAAUGGAAACAAUGUGUUAUGACAGUUUGCGCCGUUUCUUACUUUUAAAAUGACUGACAUGUCUGCUUGUACUUGCCAAACCACAUUACUUAGCAAAAUAUGACAUACAAAGCAUUGAGGGGCAGAUUUAUUAAGCCUGGU